rnacentral:rRNA from 1 species
UGGGGAAUCUUGCGCAAUGGACGAAAGUCUGACGCAGCGACGCCGCGUGAGUGAUGAAGGCCUUCGGGUUGUAAAGCUCUGUGGAGAGGGACGAAUAAGUGUCGUCGAAUAGACGGCAUGAUGACGGUACCUUUUUAGCAAGCACCGGCUAACUCUGUGCCAGCAGCCGCGGUAAGACAGAGGGUGCAAACGUUGUUCGGAAUUACUGGGCGUAAAGCGCGUGUAGGCUGCUUGGAAAGUCGGAUGUGAAAGCCCUGGGCUCAACCUAGGAAGUGCAUUCGAAACUUCCAAGCUCGAGUUUCGGAGAGGAAGGCGGAAUUCUCGGUGUAGAGGUGAAAUUCGUAGAUAUCGAGAGGAACACCGGUGGCGAAGGCGGCCUUCUGGACGAUGACUGACGCUGAGACGCGAAAGCGUGGGGAGCAAACAGG